AGGAGAAGAACGACCAAUUGGAAGCUGAGUGGAGCGAACGAUGUGAAUCGGAACUCGCUCUUCUUCCAGAACAUUCACCAAGAAUCAUCAUAAACUAAACAUAAACCCGAUUAAUUUCAAGAAUAAUAGCUUAAUUUCACUGGAACUGGUGAAUUUGAGAAAAAUGAAACGGAAAAGGAGGAUCCAGAGAACGUACCGGGAAUCGGAGUUGGAGAAGAAGAUUCCGGAGGAGUUGGAGAAGACGAAGCCAUGUGAAUGUGAUCUUCUUCAUCAACUAUUCCUUCAACAAUGUUUUACUGUAAAGUUGCAAAGGAGAUCUACUUUAUUCUUCAUCUUUGUUCUUCCCAUUUUCUUUGUUUGGGUUCUUUUUUAUUCUCCUUGGUUUGAUUGAAGAU
rnacentral:lncRNA from 1 species